rnacentral:rRNA from 1 species
GUUCGUAACCAAGGUUUCCGUAGG